UUUUCUGCCACCGAAUACAUUAGCAUGGGAUAAUGGAAUAGGACCCUGUCCUCCUAUUUUCAGUUGGUUUUGGCAGCGCGAGGACUAGGGUAAUGAUUAAUAGGGAUAGUUGGGGGCAUUAAUAUUUAAUUGUCAGAGGUGAAAUUCUUGGAUUUAUGAAAGAUUAACUUCUGCGAAAGCAUCUGCCAAGGAUGUUUUCAUUAAUCAAGAACGAAAGUUAGGGGAUCGAAGACGAUCAGAUACCGUCGUAGUCUUAACCAUAAACGAUGCCGACCAGCGAUUAGGAGACGUUGAAUACAAAACACCACCAUCGGUGCGGUCGUCCUUGGCGUCGGUCUUUCGGGGCCGGCGCGGGGACGGCUUAGCCCGGUGGCACCGGUGAAUGACUCCC
rnacentral:rRNA from 1 species